UCUAUAAUCUUAGGUUGGUGCAUGUUGU
rnacentral:sRNA from 1 species